AAGGGACCUAGCGUAGUUCGGAAUUACUGGGCUUAAAGAGUUCGUAGGUGGUUGAAAAAGUUGGUGGUGAAAUCCCAGAGCUUAACUCUGGAACUGCCAUCAAAACUUUUCAGCUAGAGUAUGAUAGAGGAAAGCAGAAUUUCUAGUGUAGAGGUGAAAUUCGUAGAUAUUAGAAAGAAUACCAAUUGCGAAGGCAGCUUUCUGGAUCAUUACUGACACUGAGGAACGAAAGCAUGGGUAGCGAAGAGGAUUAGAUACCCUCGUAGUCCAUGCCGUAAACGAUGUGUGUUAGACGUUGGAAAUUUACUUCCAGUGUCGCAGGGAAACCGAUAAACACACCGCCUGGGGAGUACGACCGCAAGGUUAAAACUCAAAUGAAUUGACGGGGACCCGCGCAAGUAGUGGAGCAUGUGGUUUAAUUCGAAGAUACGCGCAGAACCUUACCAACACUUGACAUGUUCGUCGCGACUCUAAGAGAUUAGAGUUUUCGGUUCGGCCGGACGAAACACAGGUGCUGCAUGGCUGUCGUCAGCUCGUGUCGUGAGAUGUUGGGUUAAGUCCCGCAACGAGCGCAACCCUCUCUUUUAGUUGCCAUCAUUAAGUUGGGCACUCUGAAAGAACUGCCAGUGAUAAGCUGGAGGAAGGUGGGGAUGACGUCAAGUCCUCAUGGCCCUUACGUGUUGGGCUACACACGUGCUACAAUGGCAUCUACAACAGGAAGCAAAACGGCAACGUUAAGCAAAUCCCAAAAAGAUGCCUCAGUUCGGAUUGCACUCUGCAACUCGAGUGCAUGAAGCUGGAAUUACUAGUAAUCGUGGAUCAGCGUGCCACGGUGAAUGCGUUCCCGGGUCUUGUACACACCGCCCGUCACACCAUGGGAGUUGGUUCUACCUUAAGGCAAGGUUUUAAACCCUUGACCACGGUAUAGUCAGCGACUGGGGUGAAGUCGUAACAAGGUAGCCGUAGGGGAACCUGCGGCUGGAUUACCUCCUUUCUAAGGAUGAGUGAAAGUAAAAUUUCACUCUAAAUAAUAUACAUCGGUAAUGUUGACCGUCCUCAUUUCUCUUCUUAAAGUAAUGUUUCCUUCUUGUAGGGCCGGUAGCUCAGUUGGUUAGGGCACACCCUUGAUAAGGGUGGGGUCGAAAGUUCGAGUCUUUCUCGGCCCACCAAAAACCUAAAUGGGGGAUUAGCUCAUCUGGGAGAGCGCCUGAUUUGCAUUCAGGAGGUAGCAGGUUCGAUCCCUGUAUCCUCCACCAGGAAACAUUUAGUUAUUAAAACUGUAAAUAAAAAUAAUUUAUAUCAAUAUCUAUAUCCGAACAUUAAAAGUUAUUAUUUAAUGUUCAAAAUAAAAAUUUGAUCACAACAUAGAUAAAUUUUCUGUUAAAAGAAUUUUUUUCUGUGCAUAAAUCAAGCGUUUAAGGGCGUGUAGUGAUGCCUUGGCACUGAAAGCCGAUGAAGGACGUGAUAUACUGCGAUAAGUUUCGGGGAGCUGUAUGUAAGCUUUGAUCCGAAAAUUU
rnacentral:sRNA from 1 species